CCUACGGGUUGCAGCAGUGGGGAAUAUUGCACAAUGGGCGCAAGCCUGAUGCAGCCAUGCCGCGUGUAUGAAGAAGGCCUUCGGGUUGUAAAGUACUUUCAGCGGGGAGGAAGGCGUUGUGGUAAGUAACCGCAGCAAUUGACGUUACCCGCAGAAGAAGCACCGGCUAACUCCGUGCCAGCAGCCGCGGUAAUACGGAGGGUGCAAGCGUUAAUCGGAAUUACUGGGCGUAAAGCGCACGCAGGCGGUCUGUCAAGUCGGAUGAGAAAUCCCCGGGCUCAACCUGGGAACUGCAUUCGAAACUGGCAGGCUAGAGUCUUGUAGAGGGGGGUAGAAUCCCAGGUGUAGCGGUGAAAUGCGUAGAGAUCUGGAGGAAUACCGGUGGCGAAGGCGGCCCCCUGGACAAAGACUGACGCUCAGGUGCGAAAGCGUGGGGAGCAAACGGGAUUAGAUACCCCCGUAGUC
rnacentral:rRNA from 1 species